rnacentral:rRNA from 1 species
CCCUUAGAUGUUCUGGGCCGCACGCGCGCUACACUGAUGAAUGCAACGAGCUCUACCCUUGACCGAAAGGCCCGGGCAAACUUGUGAAACUUCAUCGUGAUGGGGAUAGAUUAUUGCAAUUAUUAAUCUUCAACGAGGAAUUCCUAGUAAGCGCGAGUCAUCAGCUCGCGUUGAUUACGUCCCUGCCCUUUGUACACACCGCCCGUCGCUCCUACCGAUUGAAUGGUCCGGUGAAAUCUUCGGAUUGCUGACCAAGAUCCAGCAAUGGAGCUUGGUUGCGAGAAGUUGAUUAAACCUUAUUAUUUAGAGGAAGGAGAAGUCGUAACA